UACGUAGGGUGCGAGCGUUGUCCGGAAUUAUUGGGCGUAAAGAGCUCGUAGGCGGCUUGUUGCGUCGGAUGUGAAAGCCCGGGGCUUAACUCCGGGUCUGCAUUCGAUACGGGCAGGCUAGAGUUCGGUAGGGGAGAUCGGAAUUCCUGGUGUAGCGGUGAAAUGCGCAGAUAUCAGGAGGAACACCGGUGGCGAAGGCGGGUCUCUGGGCCGUAACUGACGCUGAGGAGCGAAAGCGUGGGGAGCGAACAGG
rnacentral:rRNA from 1 species